CUCACGUAGCCAGUAACAGUACAACUUCCUGGGGAACAGUAAAACCUUCCACGUUCCCUGGAUAUCCAUAGCUCUUUAGGGUUAGAAGCAUCGUCACUUCCUGUAGCCAAGAGGAAGUCCCAGCAGAGGGGAAGAAAUGUCCAGAUAAGACAGAGUCUGAGCUAUGCAAGAAAGAAAAAUGCCUCGUAUCCGCUGCCACAGAAUAGUUCCUGGGGCUGGAAGACGCCAGUCGCUCACUGGAUGUUACUGAAGUAAUGAAUUAGGGACAGAAUGAGAGAACAGGACACACAGCAGUGGACUUGUGAGUGCGUGGAGCUCCCCGUGCCCUAGCAAUUUGUCCCUACCUCUGCUGUUGUGCUGGUUAAGCCUGGGCUGGUUUGUUCCAUGCAGACCCUGUCUCCCAGCAUGACUGACCUAGUAACUGCAAAUUCCAUGGUGUGCUUGAAGAAAGCCCUCUGCACAAUUUCUCCAUCAAUUCAGCCAGGUCUUGCCAGACCUGAAAUUGUACGAAAUCCCCAGUAUUACAAAUUCCCAUCAAAGGCCAAUGAGACAAGAGCUAGAGAAAAAUGUCUCUGCCAGGUUCACUGAAAAUGAAGACAGCAGGUUUUCCUUUUAGUUCUGGGGAUUAUUUAUUACAGGUCUACAGUGUGUCUCGUCUCCCCUGGUCUUUUCUGAGGAUAUUCAAGUUCAGUUUUCUCUCCCAGUACCUCCCAAUAAGGUCUUCUGAAAUAAAUGCCGGUACUGCCGUCAAGUCCACUUUGCAAGGAUAAACACGCCACCAGGAAAGCCACCUCCUUGCUUUCCCACGAACUAACACCCAGCCACAGCCCUGGUCGUCCUGGCUUCAGUUAGAAGCAGCCGUGGCAGCAGCUUGACAUGGAAGAGGGACAAAGGUGAUCAUUUCAAAUGCUCCCACUAGCUUUGCGUUCUGAUUGCCUUGUUCCUGUGUCCCCCAAACUUCUGUGUUACCUCUGCCCCCCUUUCGCUUUGCCUUGUCAAAUGUUAGAGACGGUUGUUGGAAGGGUUUGGAAGCACAUCCCCCAAAGGGCUUCAGGUUAUGGGGGUGGGGGGCGUUGAGAAAACAGGAACUCCCAGGUAAAGCCAUUCAACAGUUUUCAUAUGAAUAAACCAGUCAAAGUGGA